GAUGAACGCUGGCGGCGUGCCUAAUACAUGCAAGUCGAGCGAACAGACGAGGAGCUUGCUCCUCUGACGUUAGCGGCGGACGGGUGAGUAACACGUGGAUAACCUACCUAUAAGACUGGGAUAACUUCGGGAAACCGGAGCUAAUACCGGAUAAUAUAUUGAACCGCAUGGUUCAAUAGUGAAAGACGGUUUUGCUGUCACUUAUAGAUGGAUCCGCGCCGUAUUAGCUAGUUGGUAAAGUAACGGCUUACCAAGGCAACGAUGCGUAGCCGACCUGAGAGGGUGAUCGGCCACACUGGAACUGAGACACGGUCCAGACUCCUACGGGAGGCAGCAGUAGGGAAUCUUCCGCAAUGGGCGAAAGCCUGACGGAGCAACGCCGCGUGAGUGAUGAAGGUCUUCGGAUCGUAAAACUCUGUUAUUAGGGAAGAACAAAUGUGUAAGUAACUAUGCACGUCUUGACGGUACCUAAUCAGAAAGCCACGGCUAACUACGUG
rnacentral:rRNA from 1 species